rnacentral:rRNA from 1 species
UUCUGCUCAAUGGUAAGACUAAAUAGCCGCAGUACCUUGACUGUGCAAAGGUAGCAUAAUCAUUUGGCUUAUAAUUGAAGUCUGGCAUGAAGGAAUAAAUGGGUGGCAACUGUCUUUUAGGGUUGACUAGAACUUACUUAGCAAGUGAAAAUUCUUGUAGUUAAAUAAUAGACGAGAAGACCCUAGAAAUUUUAUAUAAAAUAACAUAGUAUUAGCAUUAUUUUGUUGGGGCGACAGAAUAACAAGAAACUUAUUUUAUAAGUUUGAACUAACUGAUGAGAUAAAGUAAAUUACUCUAGGGAUAACAGCAUAAUCUAUAAGAGUUUGUGACCUCGAUGUUGGACUAGGGAUUUUAUUGUUUAGAAGACACUAAAACAGGCUCUGUUCGAGCUAUUUACCCCUACGUGAUCUGAGUUCAGACCGGA